GUGGGGAAUAUUGGACAAUGGGCGAAAGCCUGAUCCAGCCAUGCCGCGUGUGUGAAGAAGGUCUUCGGAUUGUAAAGCACUUUAAGUUGGGAGGAAGGGCAGUAAGUUAAUACCUUGCUGUUUUGACGUUACCGACAGAAUAAGCACCGGCUAACUUCGUGCCAGCAGCCGCGGUAAUACGAAGGGUGCAAGCGUUAAUCGGAAUUACUGGGCGUAAAGCGCGCGUAGGUGGGUUUGUAAGUUGGAGGUGAAAUCCCCGGGCUCAACCUGGGAACUGCCUCCAAAACUGCAUGACUAGAGUACGGUAGAGGGUAGUGGAAUUUCCUGUGUAGCGGUGAAAUGCGUAGAUAUAGGAAGGAACACCAGUGGCGAAGGCGACUACCUGGACUGAUACUGACACUGAGGUGCGAAAGCGUGGGGAGCAAACAGGAUUAGAUACCCGGGUAGUC
rnacentral:rRNA from 1 species